rnacentral:rRNA from 1 species
UACGUAGGGGGCUAGCGUUGUCCGGAAUCAUUGGGCGUAAAGCGCGCGUAGGCGGCCUCAUAAGUCCGUUGUGAAAGUCAAAGGCUCAACCUUUGAAAGCCGAUGGAUACUGUGAGGCUAGAGUCCGGAAGAGGCGAGUGGAAUUCCUGGUGUAGCGGUGGAAUGCGCAGAUAUCAGGAGGAACACCAAUAGCGAAGGCAGCUCGCUGGGACGGUACUGACGCUAAGGCGCGAAAGCGUGGGGAGCGAACAGG